UUGACCCAUCCAUUCCGCGUGCGGGUUGACUUAACUUAUGAGUUGUAAUCUGCUUUUUUACAGGAAGAAAUUUUCCACGUGUGGAUAACUGACGUUACUGUAAGAAUAAGGACCGUUUUAUUCGUGCCAGCAGCCGCGUUAUUUCGGAGGUUUCCAAGCGUUUUCCGGAAUCAUUUGGUUUAAAUGGUCCGUAGUCGGUCAAUUAUGUCAGAGGUGAAAUCCCACAGCUCAUUUGUGGAACUGCCUUUGAUACUGGUUGUCUUGAGUUAUAGUGAAGUAGAUAGAAUAUGUAGUGUAGCGGUGAAAUGCAUAGAUAUAACAUAGAAUACCGAUUGUGAAGGCAGUUUACUAACUGUACAUUGACGGUAAUGGACGAAAGCGUGGGGAGCGAACAGGAUUUGAUACCGUGGUAGUCCACGCCGUA
rnacentral:rRNA from 1 species